UCUUCAGCGUGGGAUUGGGUGGAUGGAUUGAGGCAGAAAUAUCUACCUCGUCAGACCCUCUCUCUCCCUCAUCUCUUCUUCAUCCCGCUCCUCUUCUCUAGGCCGCCGCCGCGGCUUUCCUCCUCCCUCUCGGCUGCCUCAUCUCCUCUGCCUCCACCUCCACUGCCUCCUUACCCAACUAGCACGGGCAAGACGACGUGCAGGCAAAGGGAGAUGGCGGCGGCGCUCAAUUCGGUCAGCAGUACAGAGAAGAUGAGAGGGAGAGAGAGAGGAAAGGGGAGAGGGAGGUGCGCCUGUCCCUCACCCCAUGUCCCCGGCGCACCGUCGCCCCUCCAAGCCUUGGUGGUCCAGGGAGGAGUAGAUGACACCAACUUCGAUUCCGGCCUCCGCCCUGAGCUCCGCCGCCUCACGAACUCGAGGCGAGGGGCGCCGCCCCCACGAGCUCACUCCGCCUCUCGAGGACCUCCUCUCCUUCGCGGCCCCGAGCGAUGUCUUGAACUCUUCUGUCCCUACACAUGGUCAGCAUCAGCAGAGGGCCAAACUAUAUUCGUUUGAAGGAUGCAACUGCAGGCGCAAACAAUUUUGCUGGGUAGGUGGUCAAACCCCUAUUCUAUUGUUGUGAUACUGGUGAGCUUGCACGGUGCAGCAGCCUGGAGAGGCGGCUAACGGCGCACCUGCGAAGCAACAAUAAACACGUCUGAUGCCAACAUGCCAAGGUUGGCAGCACAAAUGAUAUAGCUAAGUCAUCCUCAUCAUAAUUAGAUUAUUGUUGGCACCAUCAAUGAUCCAUAUGACAACCCUAUGGAAUUUUUUAUAUGUCUGUGAAGGAGGGUAUUUUCAGGGAUUUCAGGGAAUAUGAUGAUUUGUUGGUUGUGUUCUCAGUUAGCAGCUUUAGUUUCCUGAUUAUCUUUUCUCAACCCAUGUCAAGAUAGAAAAAUUGCAUCCGGCAGACUGUUUACGACAUUGUGGCAUUGGACUAUGAGAAAGUUACGGUCCUUAUUGAUGCAACAACCGCUGCAAGGCCAGAUAUCCAUUUGGCAAGUAUUAGAGAUAUGAUGACUAUUGGCGUGGAAACACCAACCUUGGAAGAGUGGCGCCGUUAGGUUAGCAGGUGGUGUACUUCAUUCUUGGAGCUGACAUACAUGCCUAGGUGCAUCGAAGUCAACAAACGCGCUGCUACCUCUUGCUGACUCUCCAUUCGGCCCCGACAAGUUUGUAGUACCUUCAGCAUAGAAGCAGUAGUGGUCUGCUCCCCCAAAUAUCUAUAGCUCGUGGAUGUGGCGGUAUGGGGAAUAGGGAGUAGAUGAUAUGGGAAUAAGAGGAUCCAGGCACGUGCACAAAUUCUUGCUACCUGACGGCUAUGCUGAGGAUGCCUCUGACCUAUCUCAAGAAGAUUUGAGCCGCAGAAUGAUGUGUACAGCGCACCACCAGUUCCUCCGACAACACAGCUGCUGUACUGGUAGCAGCGACCACAACUUUCCACACAAGCGUCGCUAGCUGUGACCGUCAAUGUACCUGAUGCCGUAUAUGCCUCUCCAUCCCGUUAGUCUGCUCGAUUAUUCAGUUAGUUGGAUACAAUAGAAUAUCAUCUUUUACUUCUUGUGGUUAUUUACAAUCUCCUGCAAUCACCUGAUAGAAUUUCAUGAUUGUUUUGUCAUGAAAUAGGUUCUGCCAGCGCCAAGGUUCAACACAUUUUAGUUUUAUGGGAUGGACAUGUUAGUUCAAAUGCUUAAGGGUUUGAUGCUAAAUUGUUCAUAUAAGCUUGCACCUAUUUUUGUAAUUCAUUAGUUAAGAACACUGAUUUUUUUUUGAAAGCUUUAUCAUGACAUCGAUCUUGGUUUUGCCUUACUGCCAUGCAGAGGUUGGAUGGAGCAUCGAGGAAUUCAGGCUUGGGGUGGCACAGUAGUAGGAUAGCAGGAUGAGUUGGAUGUGUUCUUCAGAGACCAGGUGAUGUCGUUGCCGAAAGGUACCUGAAGCACACACUUCUGAAUUUGGUCAUUUAUUUUUCCUCAUAGCUGGUUUCCCUUAAUACUUUUCUUAGAGACAUGAUCAAAGAUAGAAAAGUUUUACUUCUGAAGCAGAAGUGACAGUAUACUACGCAUGCCAUAUUGAUCUGUUCAUGGCAAUGGCAGAAGUAUCUAAUUCAUCCGACCUAAUUCAAGUUAGCUUCUGUACAGCAGUAGAUAAAGAUUCACUUACAAAUAGUACUCCAAAUGGACAGUAAUAGUGCGUAAAAAGUGUUUGUGUUAGUUCAGUGAAAAUUAGAGAUCAGCCUGAUGGUACUUCAUUUUUUAUUCUAUAGCUUAAUCUGCCAAAUGCUAUUAAGGAAAUGAAGUUUCUUCC